rnacentral:rRNA from 1 species
UACGUAAGGUGCGAGCGUUAAUCGGAAUUACUGGGCGUAAAGCGUGCGCAGGCGGUCUGUUAAGACAGAUGUGAAAUCCCCGGGCUUAACCUGGGAACUGCAUUUGUGACUGGCAGGCUAGAGUAUGGCAGAGGGGGGUAGAAUUCCACGUGUAGCAGUGAAAUGCGUAGAGAUGUGGAGGAAUACCGAUGGCGAAGGCAGCCCCCUGGGCCAAUACUGACGCUCAUGCACGAAAGCGUGGGGAGCAAACAGG